GCAGAAUUCAGAUACAUUGUGAACUAUUAUACAAGUUAGAAACUGAGGAGUGAAAGAACGUAUUCAUAAUAAACACUCAACGGACUUUCUAAUAUCUAACCAGCAGUGAAGAAACAUUGCCAAACAAAUGAGAUUGCCUUUCAAUCUUAAGCAGGGACAGCUUCAAUAAGCUUUGCAAAGUAAAAUUGUGUGGCGAUCAAGCCUCUCUUCUUUAUCUUCCAUCCAGCUUUUUGCAGUGCCCUCUCCACAUCAGCCUCUGCAUGUAGAUAUGCUCGUGUAGCCUUUGAAGGUCCAGGGAACAACUCUCCAAUCCUUUUUAACAAAUCAUAAUAAAAUGUUUUCGGUGCAAAGCUCAGGAUCAAACGGUUCUCAGCCAAUGAUGCAAGAUGAGCAAUCAUACCAUCAGCCUUACUUUGUGGGUAAUGUAUCAUAACAUCUAAGCAAACCACAGUGUCAUACUUCCCAUCCAAACUCUCCAAGUCCUUCACUUCAAAUUUCGGCAUUACUGGUGCCAGGGAUUGGUCAUCUUUACUCUUGAACAACUCCUCUUGCGCCUGUUUUUGGGCUUCAGCUACCAUGGAAGCUGAAAUAUCACUAGCUGAUACAAUGGCACCUUCUUUAGCUAAUGGAAUCGACAAACAACCGGUCCCACAACCGGCGUCACAUACAGUAACUCCCUGUAGAGAUCCCUCUUCCGUCAACAUUUUCAUCACAUUCUCAACCGUUUUUGAAUGUCCCAAUCUUAUAUCCAACUGCACUUUAUUCACAUCAUCCGUAUCACCAUAUAUCUUCUUCCACCUCUGGAACCCAUUGUUAUUGAAAUACUCCCUCACCACCUCCUUAUCACCGCCUCCGACCUCCUCCGCCUGAAGUUGCCGACGGCGCUCGGGGUCGGCGAGCGAGAGAAUAGCAGCAAGUGCCGCCACUGAACUACCUCCAAGUACGGCGAGAGUCUUACCGUCCAACGAACCGGUGACGGCGGAGAUGUCGGUAGCGGUGGAGAGCGGCGGAAUGGCGCAGACGGUGAGGUUCCGGCGGUUGUUUGGCUUUGUGCUUUUUGGAUGAUUGAGUUGGGGAUUAGGGUUUAAGGUGAAGUUGACCGGAGAAAACAACGGCGACGAGAAAGCCAUAAUAGUUGGAGUUGAGUUCGAGCUAAA
rnacentral:misc_RNA from 1 species